rnacentral:tRNA from 1 species
GCCGACGUAGCCCAACUGGAAGGAGGCAGCACGCUCAGACCGUGAACAGUGUCCGUUCGAAUCGGACCGUCGGUA